AGGAUAAACGCUGGCGGCGUGCCUAACACAUGCAAGUCGAACGCGCUUUCGGGCUUCGGUGCGAGAGCGAGUGGCGGACGGGUGAGUAACACAUGGGUACCUACCUUGGAGUGAGGGAUACCGGCGAGAAAUCGCCGACAAUACCGCAUAGGCUUCUUCACAAGGGAAGCAAAGUGACGCGAGUCACGCUUUGAGAUGGGCCUGUGGCCGAUUAGCUAGUUGGGGGGUAACGGCUUCCCAAGGCGACGAUCGGUAGCUGGUCUGAGAGGACGAUCAGCCACACUGGGAUUGAGAACGGCCCAGACUCCUACGGGGGCAGCAGUGAGGAAUUUUCCGCAAUGGAGGCAACUCUGACGGAGCAACGCCGCGUGCAGGAGGAAGGUUUUCGGAUCGUAAACUGACUUUUCGUCGGGGUACGAGCAAGGACGGUACCCGAGGAAGAAGCCCGGCUAACUACGCGCCAGCAGCCGC
rnacentral:rRNA from 1 species